ACCUACAUACAUGCAUGCAUUGUCCUUAACUGUGAAUAGAUGAUUGUGCAAUUCAAAGUGAAAUAAAGCCAAGAGUUGUCUCUUGUUUUUUUUUUGGGGGGGGGGGGGGGGGAUUUUCUGCACUUUGAUGAUUUCAAAUGUCGAGAAAACAGGCAGAGAAAUGUAGGAUUUUAUUUUUAAAAAGUAUCUUACACCUCGCACAUGCCUCCACUGUGUUUUCCAAAAAUAUGUCUCGGCAAACUGAAGCUGGAGCGUCCUCUGUCGGCUCGUAAUUUAUCUGUCAGUGUGGGGUGAGAUGAGCCUCAACACAAACUCAUCUGCAGAAUACUGUGCGUAAAACAGCGAUCCAAAAAAUUAGGUUUAUGGGCGCGCACUGCUUUCGGAAAAAUGUCCACGUGAAAAGAGCAAAAGGUGGAGUGAGAUGAUGUCACAAAUUAACAACACAGCUGUUUGUAGUCCGAGUUAAUUGACACUUUGAUUAAAUGCGACUGUUUUAUUUAAUUCAAUGAAUCCCAUCUGCUCUGCCUAAUGCGUGACAUUUUGUGGUGGCUCUUUGCGCUCCGUGCCGCGGGGCUGUUACGCACCCUGGUGAGGUGGAGACAUUUUGAGGAGGUUCAGGAGACAAACACCUUGCUCUCUUCGCUGCCUUCAACACAAGACACAAAGCACUCACUUCAUCCUGACCCCAUAGCGACUCUCUGCGGGGAAUAGGUCCGUCUGAAUAAAAAAAAAAAAGAAAGAAAAAGAAAAAGAAACCACUGUUCUCCAGGUUGCUCACAGCACGAUGUGAGGCCAAAUUAGCCGAGCGGACGGAUCCAGUAUGAUGAUGGCUCUGUUAAAUCCUGUGCCCUCAGGUGGCAUGAAAUGCAGCGACUCAGCCUUGAGAGGGUCCGAGUGACCUUAUGACACACAGAGGACGUGAAGACAUGUAAAGUUUGCUGCUCAGAACAGAUGUUCUCUCCUCUCCGGCCUCAGGGACGAACCGGCCGCUGUUCCCACACAGGCUCAAAGUGUCUGCAGAAAACCUCCUCAGAUGAAAGAUAACGCAGAGGAAGAAUCUUCAUACGGUCUGAUCUGGGGGAGGUUUUACCUGCUAAUGCCAAGAAAUACAGCAGCAAGGUGGAUGUCAGAUAAUCCCCCUCCAUCAGGAAUGUAAAUCACCGAAAUGAGUGGUGUGCAUAUUUUAAUAGGAAGCUGCCUGAGAAACAUGAUUAAAGCUUUUUGCUUUGGCACCAGUUUAGUGACUAAAUGGAAAAUCUUUGCUAAAAUCAGUUAUGCUGUCCUUAUUCAGCCUCUUGCUCAUAACCAUGUUGUGUUUUUGUCAUAAAAAGUAAAAGGAAAGACAUAAAAAGACAUAAAUGAGAUCGGUCAGGAUGUCAUUGUACACUUGUUGACUUGUGAUGAGUCUUCAAUAA